UUUUGCCCACUCUCCUCCGCUUCCAACCAGCCCUUCCACAACCACCUUAGCCCUUCUAAAUAACGGUUUUAGACGCUUAACCAUUGAUUCUUCCCCGCUGGCGAAGAUAGCUAGGGUUUCGUUCUUUGCGCCACAAUUGUCCUUGUAUAUGGAGGCGUUGAUGGAGUGGCAACCUUUGAUGCGGCGGCACCUAAGAUUUUGGCAGUGAGGGAGGGCUUCGAGGUUUUCACGUCGAUGAGGACACCACCGAGGCGAACGACAAAGAGGGUGCCGGAGAAGGGGUGGAGGAGGACGAAGAGGAAGAUGACGUCAGAGUGGGCGGCGAUGACAUGGGUGUUGAGAAGUGGGCUCCGAGGAGUGGUUGGGCCUUGGAAAAGGGGCGAUUGAAGAGGGAAUUACUUUGUGCACCCAACUUUUAUCUUAUACAUCCAACAUUUUUUCAUUUUUUCCAAAAUUACCCUGGAAAACUUACAGAUUCGUAAUCCAUAAACUUACGAAUUCGUAAUCUGCAAGAUUACGAAUUGGCAAUUCGUAUGCUCAUACGGAUUAAAAUUACAUUUGCAGUAAAUAUACAUUAGAAAGUAAUGCACCAAAAUUAUUUUUCAUAAAAUUUAUUAUGUAAAUUUACAUGUGCAUUAAAUAUAAUUAGAAAUUUUAAUGUUAUAUAUAGCGACAUUAAUUAUUUUAGGACAUAAUUGGCCUAUUAGCUCAGUUUGUUAGAGUAUCUUGUUAAUAACCUAAAAGUCACAGGUUUGAAUCCUGCAUGGAAAGCAUUUUUUAAAAAAAUUAUAAAAAAAAAAUUGUAAUUCGUACGUACAUACGGAAUCUCCCUUCGUCUCAUCUUCUUCCUUCGUUUUCUUGAUUCCUUUUCCUUGGUUUGUGCCCGCCACCGUUGUUGGCUGCUUCCAUUGCCGGCUUUGAGGACGUCUCCACCGCCAUCAUGUCAUUUGUGCCAUCAAGAUUAUGGUUAGAACUAGAGGUUUAGGUCGUGUUUUAGAUAGAGUUAUAGGAAAAGCCUUGGGGAGAGAAGAUAAUCAUGAUUUUGAUAAAGUUUUCCAGCGGCGAAGGCCCACAGCAUCUGCACAUAGGCAAUGUGAAGCUAUCGCUAUUGCUGAGGAUGCUCCUCACGUGGCUGACGCAGCUGAAGAGGUCUUCCAACAACUUGAAGAAGUAGUUGUUGAUGCCCAAGGUUUUCCAGGCAGGCUACACAACACAUUAGUUCUGACUGUCUAUGCUGAUCAUGUUGCAAUCAUUGUUUGAAAUGGAGAGGAACGUCUUGAAUUGAAGUUAUCCUCCCAUGGAAGGAAGGUUCAGAAAUUCGGGAGGCCUACUGCUGAAAUUGAAGGGUUAGUAGCUGCCACAGGAUUAAGUCCUUUAAUUGCAUGUUCAUUGGACACUAGCGAUCGAGGACUUAUAUCGGCUUUUGUGGAGAGGUGACAUAAGGAAACUAGCAGUAGGAGAGGUCACCAUCACUCUCGAUGAAGUGGCCUCUUUACUUCAUUUGCCCAUCAUAGGCACAUUCCCCAGCUUCGAGACUCUUCAUGUCGACAAAGCAGUGUUGAUGUUAGUGGAGUUACUUGAAGUCAGUGGAGAUGAAGCCAGAGCUAAGAUAGUACAGUGUCAUGGGGCAUAUAUACGAAUAUCAUGGCUACGAGAGAUUUAUCAUAGCAAAUGUGAGGCCGGACACUGAACUAUAGCAGCUCAAGUUUAUUUGCUGCAUUUGCUAGGUUGCAUUCUUUUUGCUAACAAGAGUGCAACACACGUGCAUGUAGUGUUCUUGGACGCCUUUUAAGACCUAAUUCAGAAUGGAAGCUACGCAUGGGGAGUUGCAACCCUAGUGCAUAUGUAUGAUAAUUUGAAUGAUGCUUGUAAAAGUGGCAGCAGACAACUUGCUAGAUAUAUCACACUAUUAUAGACUACGAUGAAAGGUCACCACGUGCCUAUCGUUGGACCUCUACGAAGGCAUUACCAACGUCGACAUAUUGCAAGCAUCUAGAUCGAUUGAUAACUACUGAUGUAUGUUGGAUGCCUUACGGUGACAACCAUGCAGUUAGAGACUUCGAUAUGAUUUCGUGUUUUUCUAUACAUAUUCGAUGGGGUCCCGUUGUUGUUAUACACCGACCAGAGAGGGUUGUACGGUAGUUUGGGUAUGUUCAGAAGAUUCCUCCAUAUUCUCCGGGUUCAAGAUUAUGCUUGGAAGAUAUUGACGACAGAUGGAUGCAUUUCUCUUACUACCUUGCACCAAUGGGAAAUAUUUAUGUUGUGCCUGGACAAUGUGCACCAGACUACAUGGACUGGUUCUACAUGAUUUCUCAUCCAUUCUUGAGGCUGACACAACCCGAGGAUCCACCCAGACAUCCACCUGUCGUGCAAGAUGAGACAUAUGUCUAACCAGAUAUGCCUCAGUACCCAAUGACAAUAGUAGCUAUAGAGGAAGCACCCGCGCAUGCACCUUCUGAUGUGGAGCAACCUAGACAUGCAGUGGAGGCUUGUCAAGCAAUAGCUGAAAGAUUGGAGCGGUUGCUCAAUCCAAGGAUAAUGACUGAAGGCACAAAAACAUACGAUGUCAUGCAAGACUACCUAAAGAUCGCUAGAGGUGUCACUGUGGAUUGCAAUGCAUAUGUGUGGUCGUGACGAAAGCAGCGCAAAGAUCAUGCAUGAAGACAUUUAAAAUUUUUUAGGAAAAUUUAUAGACUAUGUUUAUUAGUUUAUUUUAUUUGACAGCAUUUCUCUUUUACAAUUUUUAUUUGAAUUUUUUUAUAUUACUAUUGACAAACGUAAAUUAUUUAACAACCUCUUAU